CUCUUUAGCUUGGCAUUUGAAUCGGCUUUGCUGUUGCGAAGUAGAGUGGCGGCUUCGGCUGCCGAGGGUCGAUCCAUUUGGGAAAUGUUGUGUACUUCGGUAUGCAUCUCAAUUGGACCUGAUAUCAGGCAAGAUUACCCGCUGAACUUAAGCAUAUUAAUAAGCGGAGGAAAAGAAACUAACAAGGAUUCCCCUAGUAACGGCGAGUGAAGCGGGAAGAGCUCAAGCUUAAAAUCUCCGUGCAAGUUUUGCGCGGCGAAUUGUAGUCUAUAGAGGCGUGAUCAGUGUGGGCGCUUGGGGCAAGUUCCUUGGAAGAGGACAGCAUGGAGGGUGAUACUCCCGUUCAUCCCUGAGUUGCUCGUGCGUACGAUCCGUUUUCUUUGAGUCGCGUUGUUUGGGAAUGCAGCGCAAAGUAGGUGGUAAAUUCCAUCUAAAGCUAAAUAUUGGUGCGAGACCGAUAGCGAACAAGUACCGUGAGGGAAAGAUGAAAAGAACUUUGAAAAGAGAGUUAAAGAGUACCUGAAACUGCUGAAAGGGAACCGAAUCGUUUCCAGUGUCUAUAAUCCGUGGUAUAUUUCAUUGGCGAGUGUGUGCGUGCGUGUGCUGUGGCAGCGGCUUUUUUGGCUGCGCUCGGCGUGUGUGCUGUGUGUGCUUGCUGGUGCCCUGUGCUGCGGUGGGACGUCAAGGUCAGUUCGUAUGCUGCGGGAAAUGGCCGCCGAGGAGGUAGGGCUUACGCUUGCGUUUGUCUGUUAUAUCUUGGUGGACGAGUAGUCGCGGUUGGGACUGAGGUGCCUACAACGUGUUUUUGAGUGGGCCUGUGUCUCUGUGUGCGCCGUGUGCGGAUAGCUUGCUAUGCGUGUGUGGUUGUGUGUGGAUUGAUGUGGGUUUUAACUUGUUGCCGUUCGGGACGUUGACGAAAUGGAGCGAUUUGACCCGUCUUGAAACACGGACCAAGGAGUCUAACAUGUGUGCAAGUGUUAGGGUGUGGAAACCCCAGCGCGAAAUGAAAGUGAAGGGCAGCGUAAGUUGUCUGAGGUAGGAAAUGCUGCGG